rnacentral:rRNA from 1 species
UACGUAUGGUGCAAGCGUUAUCCGGAUUUACUGGGUGUAAAGGGAGCGCAGGCGGCACGGCAAGCCUGAUGUGAAAGCCCGCGGCCCAACCGCGGGACUGCAUUGGGAACUACCGGGCUGGAGUGCCGGAGAGGCAGGCGGAAUUCCUAGUGUAGCGGUGAAAUGCGUAGAUAUUAGGAGGAACACCAGUGGCGAAGGCGGCCUACUGGACGGUGACUGACGCUGAGGCUCGAAAGCGUGGGGAGCAAACAGG